AUGUGAGAUUCCAAAGAACCCAGCAGCUUAGAAGUGCUCUUCAUUCCUUCCCUUGAACUCCGAUAGGUCCUCAGAGAUCUUGUUUCAGCUUCUGCAGAGAGCAUUUAAAAGGAAGCUCUGAUACCAGAGACUGGAUGGAAUGGUGUCCUCUGGACCUUUCUUAUGUUAUUCAGGAUGCAAGCUCAGCGCUCAUUGACUUGAUUUUAUUUGGACUGUAUUGUACCUGCAGUAAGAAUGCUUUAGUGGAACAUUUAUCCCUUUGCUGCCACUGUAGGAGCAGUCAACCCAGAUAGAGCCUUUGAAUGAAGAUUGAUUCUAAGCAUGGGAUUUCUUCCAGAAUCAAUUUAUCUAUGAGAAUGCCAAGAAAUUCAAUACAAAUGAAAGAGCAAAUUAUGUUUUUUCAGUUUCUAAACAAACAUUUAAUAUACCAUUAAUUUUGUGCUUGUGUUUUUGUUAUUUUUUUUCCAGGACAGAUUUCUCUCAUGUGGGUCCUCCUCCUCUCUUCUUAACUGCAUUUAAUGUGCCUGAAGGGAAAACAUCCUGAACAUUGCACUAAGAUUAAAAAUACUCUGUAAGCAAUAACAGUUAUAUUUAGUGCUGGUGAAAGGUGCUGGAUUC